rnacentral:rRNA from 1 species
UACGGGAGGCAGCAGUGGGGAAUAUUGCACAAUGGGCGCAAGCCUGAUGCAGCCAUGCCGCGUGUAUGAAGAAGGCCUUCGGGUUGUAAAGUACUUUCAGUCGUGAGGAAGGUGUUAAGGUUAAUAACCUUAGCAAUUGACGUUAGCGACAGAAGAAGCACCGGCUAACUCCGUGCCAGCAGCCGCGGUAAUACGGAGGGUGCGAGCGUUAAUCGGAAUUACUGGGCGUAAAGGGCACGCAGGCGGUUAAUUAAGUUGGAUGUGAAAUCCCCGGGCUUAACCUGGGAAUGGCAUUCAAGACUGGUUAGCUAGAGUCUUGUAGAGGGGGUUAGAAUUCCAUGUGUAGCGGUGAAAUGCGUAGAGAUGUGGAGGAAUACCGGGUGGCGAAGGCGGCCCCUGGGACAAAGACUGACGCUCAUGUGCGAAAGCGUGGGGAGCAAAC